UUGCAGGCUAGGUCGGGAGGUUAGCCCUCUCCUGUCGCUGUGAACGGGCUUUACACAGGACCGAAGCUUGGGAAGCGGCAUCCAGAGUGUGAACUGAGUCCUGGUUCGGACUGUGAAGUUUUGUCCUUUCGGAUGAGCUUUCAUGGGAAUCGUGUCAGGGCAGGAAUGCAGCAGCACUCACCAAGAGAGCCCGUGCUGAAAGGGAAGCGAAAUGGAGGAAGCGCUAGGGUAGCUCACUCAUGCUUUGGGUUUCCAUUCUCAGGCGCGCCUGCAC
rnacentral:SRP_RNA from 1 species